AUUGAACGCUGGCGGCAGGCCUAACACAUGCAAGUCGAGCGGUAGCACAGGGAGCUUGCUCCUGGGUGACGAGCGGCGGACGGGUGAGUAAUGUCUGGGAAACUGCCUGAUGGAGGGGGGUAACUACUGGAAACGGUAGCUAAUACCGCAUAACGUCGCAAGACCAAAGAGGGGGACCUUCGGGCCUCUUGCCAUCAGAUGUGCCCAGAUGGGAUUAGCUAGUAGGUGGGGUAACGGCUCACCUAGGCGACGAUCCCUAGCUGGUCUGAGAGGAUGACCAGCCACACUGGAACUGAGACACGGUCCAGACUCCUACGGGAGGCAGCAGUGGGGAAUAUUGCACAAUGGGCGCAAGCCUGAUGCAGCCAUGCCGCGUGUAUGAAGAAGGCCUUCGGGUUGUAAAGUACUUUCAGCGGGGAGGAAGGCGAUAAGGUUAAUAACCUUGUCGAUUGACGUUACCCGCAGAAGAAGCACCGGCUAACUCCGUGCCAGCCGCCGCGGUAA
rnacentral:rRNA from 1 species